rnacentral:rRNA from 1 species
GACGAACGCUGGCGGCGUGCCUAAUACAUGCAAGUCGAACGCAGUGGGGACGGGUGAGUAACACGUGGGUCACCUCCCAUCAGAGGGGAUAACCCUUGGAAACAGGUGCUAAACCGAUACUGAUGGAUGGACCCGCGGUUCAUUAGCUAGUUGGUGAGGUAACGGCUCACCAAGGCCACGAUGCAUAGCCGCCCGUAGAGGGUGAUCGGCCAAAUUGGGACUGUGAGACGGCCCAGACUCCUACGGGAGGCAGCAGGAGGGAAUCGGCAGCAAUGGACGAAAGGCUGACCGAGCAACGCCGGGGGAGGGAAGAAGGUUUUCGGAUCGUAAAACUCUGUUGUUAGAGAAGCGGUAUCUAACCAGAAAGCCACGGCUAACUACGUGCCAGCAGCCGCGGUAAUG